GAUCAACGCUGGCGGCGUGCCUAAUGCAUGCAAGUCGAACGGAGCCGCCUUCGGGCGGUCACGUGGCGGACGGGUGAGGAACACGCGGGCGAUCUGCCCCGGGGCGGGGAUAGCCGACCAGAAAGUAGGUGGGUAAUACCGCAUGAGCUCGGCGACUUACGGGUCACCGAGGAAAGGCGCAAGCCACCCUGGGAGGAGCCUGCGGCGGAUUAGCUUGUUGGCGGGGUAACGGCUCACCAAGGCAAUGAUCCGUAGCUGGUCUGAGAGGACGGCCAGCCACAGGGGGAACUGAGACAC
rnacentral:rRNA from 1 species